UUCUGAAAUCAAUGAAUUAGAGAUUUAAUGCAUUGAUAUUUCAUGGCUUAUCUGUACAGAAAGGCGAGAUGGAUAUGCAAGCAGUGAAAUGCUCUGUGCCACUUGCGGUACUGCCAGACCUCAGGACUCCCUCACAUGAUGGGUUUUGUCAGAAUCAACUGAGAGCACAUGGCAACCUAUGACACCUGUACUGAAACCCACCCAAAUCCUCACGGCUGAAGCAGAUUCCAGGUGCAACAGGUUAGCACAACUGUUUUCCCGGGAAGGUCUUUGGCAGGCAAAGAGACAGGAUUUUUCACAUGUGCUCCAACAAAAUGUCAGCAUAUUCAUGGGUACCCCGUGACGGAGUGAGGGCAAUGCACAGGGCACGAGGAGAAAGGUGAGACCAGAGAAAAGAUCACUCAGGGUGAAUUGAAGCCAAAUUUACUUCCACCCCAUUCUUUACCUGCUCGUGUGUCCAUUACACAGCAUCAAUUUCCAAGGAAACAGGAGAUCAUCCAACAUUUGCUUAUUACACGUGCAUUGCAUGAGCAAUGUUUGACCAUUAACAGCCACUGCCCCUUGUUCAUACCCAGUUUUGCCUGAGUUUAAUCACAGAUGCCUGCCAGGUCUGUAAGUCCUUGGAAACUCCAAUGGGAAUGUGUUACGUAUAUGUUAGAAAACUUUACAGUCAUCUAAACUAAGCUUAGGUUUCCAGAGAAGAGGAGACUCAGGGAAGACCUUAUCAGUCUCUACAGCUUCCUGACAGGACAUUGUGGUCAGGUGGAGGUCAGGCUCUUCUCCCAGCCAAGUGACAGGACAAGAGAACUCAAGCCUUGCCAGGGGAGGUUCAGGCUGAACAUCAGGAAGAAUUUUUUCACUGAAAGGGUGGCCAGGUCUCAGAAAGGACUGCCUAGGAACUGGUGGACUCACCUGCUCUGGAGAUGCUCAAGAAAUGACUGGAUGUGGAUCUUUAUGCUGUGGUUUAUUUGGAAUGGAGGUGUUUGGUAAAAGGCUGGUCUCAAUGUCUUGGAGGUCUUUUCCAACCUUAAUGAUUCUAUGAUUCUUAAAAUCAGCUCUCUUCAUAGAUACAUGAAAGAUACCUGAUUUCUACCUGUCCGCUGCUUUUCUGAAUACCUGAGCAGAAAAUUAUUUUCUUCAGUUGAUGACAACAAUACGAUUAGUCGACAAAUAUAAUUGCAUCUUUUGUUAAAAAAGAAUAAAAAUAAAUAAAGCCACUAAAAUAUAGUGUAUGGCACAGCUGUAUUAUUCCUGUAAUGAAUAAUCACUAAAGAUAUUAUUGUGGAUGCAGUUACCAUGCAGCAAUGUGAAUAAAAUUCUUUAGAUGGAAAAUUGUACUUCAAGAAAAUGUAUGCAAUAGUACAACUGUAUUAUUGUCCAUUAAUAUGUAUUAGUUCAAUGAAUAAUGCCUGACUGAGCUGGUUUACAUAGAUUAGGAUGGCAGGCAGUGAAAGGAAGCACUUGGACUUGGUUAAAUGGGCUGUGAAGAUAGGAGGAACUCUAAUCCAAAGCAGAGGAGCAAACUACUAAGAUAGGCUGUCCAGUUCUGUUGGUACGAUUUGUUCCUUCUCUCAUUCACAUCAGUGUUUUUAUUAUGAUAAAUAAUCAGCAUCCUGUGCUCCUGAUGCAUUAGCUCUACUCAGUCCUCUUGAAUCUGUAUUUAAAAGCUUUUCUAUUUAAAAAUAAUAAGAUAAUUCUUCCCAAGGUGGCUACUUAGCAGGAAUCAUCUCAUUUGCUUUAGUGUCUCCAGGAGGCAGAACUGAAGCUCCUGACAGGCUUGUCAUCGUGAAAACAAGGUUAUUUGAGCCUAAAAUACUCAAAUAAUUCACU
rnacentral:lncRNA from 13 species